AAUAAGGUCCUGUUCACAGGUCCUGAGAGUUGGGACAUGAACAUAUCUUUUUGGGGUCACCACUCAACCCAUGACAAACCCCAUCCCUGCCAUCCUGGCCACUUUGGGUGGGACCCCUGAGCAAGCAUGGGGUAGCAGGCCCCAGAGAGAGGACAAGGGACCUCCCCAGAGUGUGGCUCUGCCUGGAUUCUGACAGCAUCCCCUGCAGCAGACGGCCUCGGUGCCCUCAUGUCUGCCAUCCCCGUGCCCUCCCAAAGAGCCAUCUGCACACCCUGCCCUCAGCCUCCCUGUCUACCGUCCUCCAGUCACCCUCUUUCCAGGCCCCACUCAUGCCAGGGCCAUCAGCAGGUCUCCCGAGCUGGGAGAUGUGUAUCUCCACCUCUGCCUGUUUCUCCAUCGGGACAAAGUGGACAACAGACCGUGGCCGGGAGCUUCACCUCCUCCAUCGCUUCCCUCCCGCUGCCUUCUCAGGAUUCUGGGUUAGAGCCGUGAUUCUGCCACAGCCGACUUCCGUCAACAGAAAACAGUCAGAACCAGCUGUGAACCAAACCUGAGAUUUUGUCUUCGGUCCAAGGCCCAGGCAGCAGAUGGCACGGUAACGUCAGGCCAGGGCGGCAGGACCCUCAGCCACAUGCUGGGGCCCUACAUUUCAAGGACAUAUUGCCUGGUCUCUGACGCGUGUGUGCUCUACAAAGUCAAACAAGAUGCUUGCUGCUCUCUCUGACCAUCAGGAACAACUGAUGUGAUGUCAUCAGCAGGGAGACCAGAGCGGUGGCCCCAGGACCUCCCGGCCACGGUGCCAGGAAUCCCUGCACUUGCUGCUCCAGGCCCAGCCUCAGCCUCACCACAGGGUGCUGUGCUGCUCUGGCUUUCCUCUCCUGGGUAGAGAGAAGCUCCAGGGGUGUCUGCUGUCUCUCCCCACCCCAACAGGCGUCAUUCUGUGGGUUUGGGGCCAACGUGGGGAUUCUCCCAAUGGCCAACUGUGUCCGGUCCAAUCAUGCAUUCCGGGACUGUGGACGUGACUCAGGCCAUGGAGCUCACGUGGAAGUGGACGUGACCACAGGUGUUGCUUUCCUCUGGACUGCAGGCUGCACGGGCCUCAGGGUCCCCAGGAAGCAGAUCGGCACAGAGUCUGCUCCCAGAUGGCCUGGCUGGAUCCCUGCUGUCGAGCACAGCCUGCUGCGGACCUGGUUGGGGCCGGUGCAGGGGAAGCGUCCAAGUUCCUCCUUGUGAGAGUGUAGGGGACCUUCCUGAAGGCUCCAGGACCCUGGGGAGAGUGGCCCGGCUGGUGCCGAAGCUGAGCAAGUGGCUGGGACUCCUCAUGGGGACACCACAAGUGAAGCUUCUGGUGGGUAGACACGGAGGACACCUGCCUUGUAGGUCGAGCUCCACUUCACUAGGCCUUCCAUCUGAUUGAUCCCAGAGAUCCUGAUCAAUCAGCCACGAUUAAAGCACAUGCUGUGCUAAAUCUCCCAAUGAUCACUCUGUCCCCACUGCCCACGAUGGCUGACAGCUCUUGUCCUCGACUGGCCAGCAGCAGUGAAACCCCGCCUGGCCACUGCCACUCCCCAACGUGUCAUUCUCACUAGACCAGGGGCCCACCACAGUGAGUGCGGUCAGCUGCAGAUGCCUCUACCUCGCCUCUUGCCAAGAUACCCCUCCUAAGCCCUGGAACCCUGAGAGUUGCCUGAUACCGUGAGGUCCAUGCGGGGGUGAUAUAAGGUGCAGGAUCCCGAGACGGGGGGAUAUCCGGACCACCCAGGAGGCCCUAAAUUCCAUCACAAGUGUCCUCAUCAGAGAGUCGCAGAGGAGACGUGGUCACCCCCUGCGGAGACGGCCAUGUGGGACGGGGUGGGGAUUGGAAGAUGCCAGUCUUGAAGACCGGAGCGAGGUAGCCACACACCCAGGAACGUCGGUGGUCCCCGGUAGCUGGGAGAGGCUGGAGAGUGUUCCGUACUGGAGCCUCCAGAGGGAGCGUCCUCAUCUCCGCCCAGUGAGGCUAACUUUGGACUUCCUGCUUUCGUGGUGUG